UACGUAGGGGGCUAGCGUUGUCCGGAAUCAUUGGGCGUAAAGCGCACGUAGGCGGCUUGCCAAGUCGGACGUGAAAUCCCUCAGCUCAACUGAGGACGUGCAUCCGAAACUGGCGAGCUUGAGUACUGAAGAGGAUCGCGGAAUUCCCGGUGUAGAGGUGAAAUUCGUAGAUAUCGGGAGGAACACCAGUGGCGAAGGCGGCGAUCUGGGCAGAUACUGACGCUGAGGUGCGAAAGCGUGGGGAGCAAACAGG
rnacentral:rRNA from 1 species